rnacentral:antisense_RNA from 1 species
GCCUUUGCUGGUGUGUGGCGAUGAGGCCUGGUGGAACUGCCAUCAAUAAAUCAAGCGUGAUCAGGGCAGCACUGAGGAGUAAAGGAAUAUUUGGGAGGAUCAGAAGCUUGGUCCUGAUUUUGCCAUCAACCAGGACCUUGAUGACUUCAAGGGAGUCCCCAAACCCUGGGUUUCUGUUUUCUCAACUCUAACAUGAGGGGCUAGACGCAUCUGGUUUAGUUCGUCUCCAUGAUCCUGUGAAUUUCAGAUGUUGAAAAUCUUCAGAAAAGCCCUGAAAGAUGAAGAGUGGUCUCAAAUAGUCAAGACCCCCUGCUGGGGGGAGCGUCUAUCCUGCUCUGUGGAAGAAAUGGGCAUGCCAGAUGC